rnacentral:ncRNA from 1 species
GGCGUUUUUCGCCGCGGCGGAGCUCGACCGCAAGCUGAAGUAGCCGAGGUGCCUACUGCGGUGCUCAUCGAGUACAUCGACGAGCACCGCGACCGGUUCGGGGUCGAGCCGAUCUGCCAGGUGCUGCGUGACGCCGACGUCCAGAUCGCCCCG